UACGUAGGGUGCAAGCGUUAAUCGGAAUUACUGGGCGUAAAGCGUGCGCAGGCGGUUUUGUAAGUCUGAUGUGAAAUCCCCGGGCUCAACCUGGGAAUUGCAUUGGAGACUGCAAGGCUAGAGUGUGUCAGAGGGGGGUAGAAUUCCACGUGUAGCAGUGAAAUGCGUAGAUAUGUGGAGGAACGACCGAUGGCGCAAGGCAGCCCCCUGGGAUGAACACUGACGCUCAUGCACGAAAGGCGUGGGAGC
rnacentral:rRNA from 1 species